GAUGAACGCUAGCUACAGGCUUAACACAUGCAAGUCGAGGGGAAACGACAUCGAAAGCUUGCUUUUGAUGGGCGUCGACCGGCGCACGGGUGAGUAACGCGUAUCCAACCUGCCCACCACUUGGGGAUAACCUUGCGAAAGUAAGACUAAUACCCAAUGAUAUCUCUAGAAGGCAUCUGAAAGAGAUUAAAGAUUUAUCGGUGAUGGAUGGGGAUGCGUCUGAUUAGCUUGUUGGCGGGGUAACGGCCCACCAAGGCUACGAUCAGUAGGGGUUCUGAGAGGAAGGUCCCCCACACUGGAACUGAGACACGGUCCAAACUCCUACGGGAGGCAGCAGUGAGGAAUAUUGGUCAAUGGGCGAGAGCCUGAACCAGCCAAGUAGCGUGCAGGAUGACGGCCCUAUGGGUUGUAAACUGCUUUUAUAAGGGAAUAAAGUGAGUCUCGUGAGACUUUUUGCAUGUACCUUAUGAAUAAGGACCGGCUAAUUCCGUGCCAGCCGCCGCCGUAA
rnacentral:rRNA from 1 species